CGAUAUAGGUUAUUGCAGUGACCAAGCUGCUGAAAGUGGUAUUUGUUAGAAGCAUAGCUGAUAUAUUUCACUCCACAGAAGUGUUUUCUGACGGAAGACAACAACUUGGCCUGUCGCAGCUGGCGGGGGAAGAGAAUCGCUCGAGCGUGAUGCUUGUGGAGCACAUAUCGCUGGAGGCGGCGCAACAGAGGCCGGCAAGGCUCGUUCGGAAGAGGAGAGCACGAGGCGUCACCAGCCAUGGCAGCCGGGAGCGGACCAAGGUGCCGCGCUGCCAGCUGACGCCGGUGCCGAUCACAAAGCUGGAGCCCGACGAGGACUCGGGCCUGGGCCUGGACGAGCCGGGCGU